GGGCCCGCACAAGCGGUGGAUUAUGUGGAUUAAUUCGAUGCAACGCGAAAAACCUUACCUGGCCUUGACAUGUACCGAAUUUAGCAGAGAUGCUUUAGUGCUCGUAAGAGAACGGUAACACAGGUGCUGCAUGGCUGUCGUCAGCUCGUGUCGUGAGAUGUUGGGUUAAGUCCCGCAACGAGCGCAACCCUUGCCAUUAAUUGCCAUCAUUUAGUUGGGCACUUUAAUGGGACUGCCGGUGACAAACCGGAGGAAGGUGGGGAUGACGUCAAGUCCUCAUGGCCCUUAUGGCCAGGGCUUCACACGUAAUACAAUGGACGGUACAGAGGGACGCCAACCCGCGAGGGGAGCCAAUCCCAGAAAGCCGUUCGUAGUCCGGAUUGUUGUCUGCAACUCGACAACAUGAAGUCGGAAUCGCUAG
rnacentral:rRNA from 1 species